rnacentral:lncRNA from 1 species
GUUGCUUCCGAAUUUUAUUAUCAAGAAGUAUAUUCAAUGCUUCUUGUAUCAAAUUUUUUCUGACGCAUUACUAAUUCUUCUAUAUAAACCUACUUAUUGCUAAUAAACUGAUAAGAGUAAGUUCCGAUAAAUAACCCUUCUAUAGAUUUUAUUAAUAUCCAAACUCAUUAUUUUUUUUUCUGUCUGUUUGGAUGAUUGGUCUCAAUUCUCUCUCUCCCUCU